CGCCUCCUUCAGCCUGGCCUGCACGAGCUCUCUCUCCAGCUGCAGGACGGACUCCUCAGAGUACCGAGGGGCUCCCUUCUACAACAGGACACGUGUGUGGUGGAGUUUUUGAUUAUUACCUGCAUGAGGAGCAGUCCAACAAUGAACGCACUCCCUUGACAAUAGCCAACCUCCCGGUCAACCAGAGAGUAUGCCUGAGGUGACAGAAAAGCUUUGGGAUUAUCAGCUGAUCUGCAUGCACUCAGGUUCCUCAAACACUAACGGAGACUUGCCUUCAUGACAUUGAAGAGCACUUCCUGGCCCAAGCUGUCUUUCUCCUUGAAGAAUUCGUGUUCGGGAUAAGUGCGGG